rnacentral:rRNA from 1 species
ACUCCUACGGGAGGCAGCAGUGGGGAAUUUUGGACAAUGGGCGCAAGCCUGAUCCAGCCAUGCCGCGUGUCUGAAGAAGGCCUUCGGGUUGUAAAGGACUUUUGUUAGGGAGCAAGUCCUGCAGGUUAAGAGCCAGUAGGGAUGAGAGUACCUAAAGAAUAAGCACCGGCUAACUACGUGCCAGCAGCCGCGGUAAU